rnacentral:tRNA from 1 species
GGCCCCGUAGCUCAGCUGGAUAGAGCAACGGACUUCUAAUCCGUAGGUCGCAGGUUCGAAUCCUGCCGGGGUCACCA